CUGUCUCAAUCAUUUGCACAUAGACGAAAAAACAUACAUGCUAAUCACCAUGUGCUCAAUAACACUAGGGCCUGUGCACAGUGUUAGCAAAGCAAACAAAAUUAUUUGUUGAACAUGUAAAACAUCUUACAAAUAUCACUAUAUAACCUUAUUAAAGCAUUUUCUUUUUAAACUUUUACAUCACAUAUUACACUUUAGAUUCCCUUUUUUCACAUUAAAGUCACAGUAUUCACAGACAAAGCAUCUAAAUACACUUCUUAAUGACAUUUGUAGUCACGAAGGAAAAGUAGAACUCAGAACAGAAUUGAAAAAGUUUGUCCUCAGAAAAAAUGCUGGAAAAAGUGAAGAAACAUUUACAUUUACACCCGCUCUGUAACGGCGGCGGCCAUGCGCAUGCGCAUUUCAUUUGCAGCCUGGACGCGGAGGGGUGUGUGUGUCUCCUCUCUGCUCUGACUGCAGCGCGAGGCUACUGAGACACUGACCGCCUGGUUUGCACUUUGCAGACGGUCCCUUGGAAUCUGUCUCUUCGGUGUUCGCACAUAGAGAAUUCUGCCCUAUUCUACUCUGUUAAAGGUGUUCGGUCCGACUGCAAAGCAGAUAGAUGUGUACAAGAGUGUGGUGUGUCCCAUGUUAGAUGAAGUCAUCAUGGGUUAUAACUGCACCAUUUCUUCACCUAACGAGGAAUUCACCUGGGAGGAGGUAACCUGAGGGUUUUGUUAAAGAAACACUGAAAACGGAUUAACAUCAUGAUCUGUUUCGGAUGCCUCCUGGACGCCUCCCUUGGGAGGUGUUCCGGGCAUGUCCAACCGGGAGGAGACCCCGGGGAAGACCUAGGACACGCUGGAGGGACUAUGUCUCUCGGUUGGCCUGGGAACGCCUCGGUAUUCCCCCGGAAGAGCUGGAGGAAGUGUCUGGGGAGAGGGAAGUCUGGGCAUCCCUGCUUAGGCUGCUGCCCCUGCGACCCGGCCCUGUAUAAGCGGUAGAAGAAGAAGAAGAAGAUGUUGGUAUACAUUACAACUUCCUUUUCCAGGAUACUCUGGCUGGUAUCAUCCCUCGUACUCUUCACCAGAUCUUCGAGAAGCUGACCACGAACGGCACAGAGUUCACUGUGAUGGUUUCCCUGCUGGAGAUUUAUAACGAAGAGCUGUUUGACCUGCUCAGUCCCUCGCCGGGUGUCACAGAGGGGCUGCAGCUGUUUGACGACCCCAGAAACAAGGUCUGUAAAGUACCCAGCUGGCUGAAUUUUCUAAAAGUUUAAAUCUAGAUGCUUUUCUUUUCCCGCUGCCUUUUGGUUUUUCUGCCUUAUUAGUGAGGCGUUAUCGUUCAGGGACUGGAGGAGAUAACGGUGCAUAACAAGAACGAGGUCUACCAGAUCCCUGAGAUAGGAUCAGCCAAGAGGAAGACUGCAGCCACGCUGAUGGACGCAUCAUCCAGGAGAUUCUCAGUACACUGGAUUACGCUAACAGGGCGAAGAACAUCGUGAACAAGCCUGAAGUGAACCAGAAACCCACCAAGAGAACCCGUAUCGAGG